AGGGCAAGUCUGGUGCCAGCAGCCGCGGUAAUUCCAGCUCCAAUAGCGUAUAUUAAAGUUGUUGCAGUUAAAAAGCUCGUAGUUGAAUUUCGGGAUCAAUCUAUCGGUCGUGCAAUAGUACGUACUGAUUUUAUUGAUUCCUCCCUUCUGAUGAACUAUGAUGUCAUUAAUUUGGUGUCAUAGGGAAUCAGGACUGUUACUUUGAAAAAAUUAGAGUGUUUAAAGCAGGCUCACGCUUGAAUACAUUAGCAUGGAAUAACGAAAUAGGACGUUUGAUUCUAUUUUGUUGGUUUCUAGGAUCGACGUAAUGAUUAAUAGGGAUAGUUGGGGGCAUUAGUAUUCAAUUGUCAGAGGUGAAAUUCUUGGAUUUAUUGAAGACUAACUACUGCGAAAGCAUUUGCCAAGGACGUUUUCAUUAAUCAAGAACGAAAGUUAGGGGAUCGAAGACGAUCAGAUACCGUCGUAGUCUUAACCAUAAACUAUGCCGACUAGGGAUCGGAUGAUGUUAAUUUUUUAAUGACUCAUUCGGCGCCUUACGGGAA
rnacentral:rRNA from 1 species